CGGUCCAGACUCCUACGGGAGGCAGCAGUAGGGAAUCUUCCGCAAUGGGCGAAAGCCUGACGGAGCAACGCCGCGUGAGUGAUGAAGGUCUUCGGAUCGUAAAACUCUGUUAUUAGGGAAGAACAUAUGUGUAAGUAACUGUGCACAUCUUGACGGUACCUAAUCAGAAAGCCACGGCUAA
rnacentral:rRNA from 1 species